rnacentral:rRNA from 1 species
GAUUCCAUAAAUAUUUUUUUUUGUAAAAAUUUUUUAAAAUUUUUAUGGGGAGUAAUACGCUUUAGUUUUUUAGGUUAUCUAUUUGUUUUGUUGCUCUAAGGGGAAACCUUUUUUAAGUUUUUAUGUUUUUUAUAAAGGGGAAUUUUUUUUUAAUUGUAAAAUAAUUGUGUAAUAACAUUAUUUGAAUUUUUUUUGGUAAAAAAUAAUUUUUUUUUCUAAAGUGAAUAAUUAAUUAAUAAAUUAGUAGAUUAAUAGAAAAAUUGUUUUUUUUUUAUUGAAUUAAAACUUUUGAAAUUAUUAUUACUUACUGAUUUAUUCUUAGACUGGUUAAUAAAAUCUUAGCUACAAAUUUUGUAGUUAUUUCUGCUCUAUGCGAAAAAGUAAAUGGCUGUUUUUGACACUAAGGUAGCAAAAUCAUUAGUUACUUAAUUGGUAACCUGCAUGAAUGAAUUUUCUAAGAAUUUAUUAGGUUUUUGUUUGAAUUUAUAAAUUUGUUGAAAAUAACAAUUUUUCCUAUAAGACUAAAAGACCCUAAAAUUUUCAUAAUUUUUAUAAAAUUAUUUGGUUGGGGAAAUAAUAAAAAAUAAAUAUUUUAUGAUUUUAGUUUCUUAGAACUUUUACUAUAGACAAAAGGAAAAAUACUUUAGGGAUAACAGCUUAAUUAUUUUUUAGAGUUCUUAUUAAUAAAAUAGUUUUAGACCUCGAUGUUGGAUUGGAAAAACUUUCUGGGGCAG